GAUGAACGCUGGCGGCGUGCCUAAUACAUGCAAGUCGAACGCUGGAGAUCUAGCUUGCUAGCUCGAAGGAGUGGCGAACGGGUGAGUAAUACAUAAGCAACCUACCCACGAAGACUGGGAUAAUCUCUGGAAACGGGGACUAAUACCGGAUAGGUAAUCGGAAGGCAUCUUCUGGUUAUUAAAGGUUAAAAACACUGGUGGAUGGGCUUAUGGCGCAUUAGUUAGUUGGUGAGGUAACGGCCCACCAAGACGAUGAUGCGUAGCCGGCCUGAGAGGGUGAACGGCCACAUUGGGACUGGGACACGGCCCAGACUCCUACGGGAGGCAGCAGUAGGGAAUUUUCGGCAAUGGGGGCAACCCUGACCGAGCAACGCCGCGUGAGUGAAGACGGCCUUCGGGUUGUAAAGCUCUGUUGUAAGGGAAGAACGGUAGAUAGAGAAUAUCUAAGUGACGGUACCUUACCAGAAAGCCACGGCUAACUACGU
rnacentral:rRNA from 1 species